CUUCUACAGGGAACCCUGAGAUGGGCCUCAGAGGGAGAUCUGACUGCCAUUUUCCCAAAACAGCGCCCCCGUCAGCUGGAAGCAACUCGUUCAAAAGAAGCUAUGACUCUCUCAGCAAAACAGCUCCAUCAAGCGUCUCGCCAACCUCUCCCUUGAGGCUCAGUCAAGGGAAUGAAAAAAGGAGGCUAGACACCUGCCCCCAACGGAAAAACCAAGAACACACCUGGAAAGCAGCUCAGACAAAGGGAGCCAGGCGGGGAAAACAGUAAUUGGAGAGGAGACCGUGCUUCCAGUCUGUUGCUGGUUUACAAGGUAAAUCUAUUCCUGGAGGAAAGGGGUACAGGAGCAGGACGCGAAAACCCGGGACAGGCUGUGGCAGGCCCGACGUCUUUCAGGCCCAGCUCCUAGCGUCCACGCCCCUCCUUCCAAGACGUUUCCCAGCAGGCGCUGCGCCCAGUUUGGAUCAAGGCAAUCUAUGCAGAAGAAUGAAUGGGUGAAGCUGGCAUCUUGAAAAGUUGAAGCUGAUAGACUGAAGAAUGCUGAUUACAUAGCCCUGAGGCUGCAGAGAAUUUUUUCUCAGGCAGCCAAGAAGAUGGUGGACAUUGAGACUGAGCAUGCCUAUCACAAGCAGCUGACCAUUGUUCAAAGCAAGAAGAGGAUCCUGCUAAAGGAAACUGGCAAGCUAGGCUUCAGGAGGUCCAAAGAGACUAUUGAGGGCAUCUACACUGACAAGGAAUGCCUGUUCACUGGUAACAUCCCCACUGAGGGCAGAUCCUGUCUGGCAUGGUGACCAAGAUGAAGAUGCAGAGGACCACUGUCAUCCACAGAGACUAUCUCUACUACAUCCGCAAGUACAAUUGCUUCGAGAAGUACCACAAGAACAUGUCCAGGCACCUGUUCCCCUGCUUCGGGAUGUCCAGAUCAGCGACAUUGUCAUGCUGGAUAAGUGCCGCUCCCUGAGCAAGACAGUGAACUUCAACGUGCUCAAAGUCACCAAGGCCACAGACAUCAAGAAGCAAUUCCAUAAGUUCUGAGGCUGAAUGUCUACCCGCUCCCUGAAAUGAAAUAAAGUUAUUUUUUCAUUCAUACACAGAAAA